CCUACGGGCGGCAGCAGUGGGGAAUAUUGGACAAUGGGGGCAACCCUGAUCCAGCCAUGCCGCGUGUGUGAAGAAGGCCCUCGGGUUGUAAAGCACUUUCAGUGAGGAAGAACGCCUGGUGGUUAAUACCCAUCAGGAAAGACAUCACUCACAGAAGAAGCACCGGCUAACUCCGUGCCAGCAGCCGCGGUAAUACGGAGGGUGCGAGCGUUAAUCGGAAUUACUGGGCGUAAAGCGCGCGUAGGUGGCUUGAUAAGCCGGUUGUGAAAGCCCCGGGCUCAACCUGGGAACGGCAUCCGGAACUGUCAAGCUAGAGUGCAGGAGGGAAGGUAGAAUUCCCGGUGUAGCGGUGAAAUGCGUAGAGAUCGGGAGGAAUACCAGUGGCGAAGGCGGCCUUCUGGACUGACACUGACACUGAGGUGCGAAAGCGUGGGUAGCAAACAGGAUUAGAUACCCCUGUAGUC
rnacentral:rRNA from 1 species